rnacentral:rRNA from 1 species
AUUGAACGCUGGCGGCAGGCCUAACACAUGCAAGUCGAGCGAGCGGCGGACGGGUGAGUAAUGUCUGGGAAACUGCCUGAUGGAGGGGGAUAACUACUGGAAACGGUAGCUAAUACCGCAUACCAUCAGAUGUGCCCAGAUGGGAGUAGCUAGUAGGUGGGGUAACGGCUCACCUAGGCGACGAUCCCUAGCUGGUCUGAGAGGAUGACCAGCCACAAUGGAAAUGAAACAAGGUCCAGACUCCUAAGGGAGGGAGCAGUGGGGAAUAUUGCACAAUGGGGGCAAGCCUGAUGCAGCCAUGCCGCGUAUGUGAAGAAGGCCUUCGGGUUGUAAAGCACUUUCAACGGGGAGGAGUUACCCGCAGAAGAAGCACCGGCUAACUCCGUGCCAGCAGCCGCGGUAAUUC